CACGACCCCAAGUCAGGUGCGGUUACCCGCUGAAUUUAA
rnacentral:rRNA from 1 species